GCCGGGUUGGCGGAGCGGCUACGCAACCGGCUGCAGACCGGUGUAGGUGGGUUCGACUCCCACACCCGGCU
rnacentral:tRNA from 1 species